rnacentral:rRNA from 1 species
UACGUAGGGUGCAAGCGUUAACCGGAAUUACUGGGCGUAAAGCGUGCGCAGGCGGCUUUGCAAGACAGAUGUGAAAUCCCCGGGCUUAACCUGGGAACUGCAUUUGUGACUGCAUGGCUAGAGUGCGGCAGAGGGGGAUGGAAUUCCGCGUGUAGCAGUGAAAUGCGUAGAUAUGCGGAGGAACACCGAUGGCGAAGGCAAUCCCCUGGGCCUGCACUGACGCUCAUGCACGAAAGCGUGGGGAGCAAACAGG